UACGUAGGUGGCAAGCGUUGUUCGGAAUAACUGGGCGUAAAGGAUGCGUAGGCGGUUAAACAGGUUAUAUGUUAAAUAUAUAGGCUUAACCUGUAGAAAGCAUAUAAAACUGUCUAACUAGAGUGCAGGAGAGGUAAGUGGAAUUCCUAGUGUAGCGGUGAAAUGCGUAGAGAUUAGGAAGAACACCAGUGGCGAAGGCGACUUACUGGACUGUAACUGACGCUGAGGCAUGAGAGCAUGGGGAGCAAACAGG
rnacentral:rRNA from 1 species